AGAGUUUGAUCAGGGCUCAGAUUGAACGCUGGCGGCAGGCCUAACACAUGCAAGUCGAGCGGUAGAGAGGUGCUUGCAUCUCUUGAGAGCGGCGGACGGGUGAGUAAUGCCUAGGAAUCUGCCUAGUGGUGGGGGAUAACGUUCGGAAACGGACGCUAAUACCGCAUACGUCCUACGGGAGAAAGCGGGGGAUCUUCGGACCUCGCGCCAUUAGAUGAGCCUAGGUCGGAUUAGCUAGUUGGUGAGGUAAUGGCUCACCAAGGCGACGAUCCGUAACUGGUCUGAGAGGAUGAUCAGUCACACUGGAACUGAGACACGGUCCAGACUCCUACGGGAGGCAGCAGUGGGGAAUAUUGGACAAUGGGCGAAAGCCUGAUCCAGCCAUGCCGCGUGUGUGAAGAAGGUCUUCGGAUUGUAAAGCACUUUAAGUUGGGAGGAAGGGUAGUAACCUAAUACGUUGCUACUUUGACGUUACCGACAGAAUAAGCACCGGCUAACUUCGUGCCAGCAGCCGCGGUAAUACGAAGGGUGCAAGCGUUAAUCGGAAUUACUGGGCGUAAAGCGCGCGUAGGUGGUUCAGCAAGUUGGAUGUGAAAGCCCUGGGCUCAACCUGGGAACUGCAUCCAAAACUACUGAGCUAGAGUACGGUAGAGGGUAGUGGAAUUUCCUGUGUAGCGGUGAAAUGCGUAGAUAUAGGAAGGAACACCAGUGGCGAAGGCGACUACCUGGACUGAUACUGACACUGAGGUGCGAAAGCGUGGGGAGCAAACAGGAUUAGAUACCCUGGUAGUCCACGCCGUAAACGAUGUCGACUAGCCGUUGGGAUCCUUGAGAUCUUAGUGGCGCAGCUAACGCAUUAAGUCGACCGCCUGGGGA
rnacentral:rRNA from 1 species